rnacentral:rRNA from 2 species
GAACGCUGGCGGCGUGCCUAAUACAUGCAAGUCGAGCGGACAGAAGGGAGCUUGCUCCCGGAUGUUAGCGGCGGACGGGUGAGUAACACGUGGGUAACCUGCCUGUAAGACUGGGAUAACUCCGGGAAACCGGAGCUAAUACCGGAUAGUUCCUUGAACCGCAUGGUUCAAGGAUGAAAGACGGUUUCGGCUGUCACUUACAGAUGGACCCGCGGCGCAUUAGCUAGUUGGUGGGGUAAUGGCUCACCAAGGCGACGAUGCGUAGCCGACCUGAGAGGGUGAUCGGCCACACUGGGACUGAGACACGGCCCAGACUCCUCCCGGGAGGCAGCAGUAGGGAAUCUUCCGCAAUGGACGAAAGUCUGACGGAGCAACGCCGCGUGAGUGAUGAAGGUUUUCGGAUCGUAAAGCUCUGUUGUUAGGGAAGAACAAGUGCGAGAGUAACUGC